rnacentral:rRNA from 1 species
AUUGAACGCUGGCGGCAUGCCUUACACAUGCAAGUCGAACGGUAACGGGCCGCAAGGUGCUGACGAGUGGCGAACGGGUGAGUAAUGCAUCGGAACGUGCCCAGUAGUGGGGGAUAGCCCGGCGAAAGCCGGAUUAAUACCGCAUACGACCUGAGGGUGAAAGGGGGGGAUCGCAAGACCUCUCGCUAUUGGAGCGGCCGAUGUCAGAUUAGCUAGUUGGUGGGGUAAAGGCCUACCAAGGCAACGAUCUGUAGUUGGUCUGAGAGGACGACCAGCCACACUGGGACUGAGACACGGCCCAGACUCCUACGGGAGGCAGCAGUGGGGAAUUUUGGACAAUGGGCGCAAGCCUGAUCCAGCAAUGCCGCGUGCAGGAAGAAGGCCUUCGGGUUGUAAACUGCUUUUGUCAGGGAAGAAAUCUUCUGGGUUAAUACCUCGGGAGGAUGACGGUACCUGAAGAAUAAGCACCGGCUAACUACGUGCCAGCCGCCGCUGUAAAAC